rnacentral:ncRNA from 1 species
AGAGGCCUUAGGGUCGAAACGAUCUUAACCUAUUCUCAAACUUUAAAUGGGUAAGAACCUUAACUUUCUUGAUAUGAAGUUCAAGGUUAUGAUAUAAUGUGCCCAGUGGGCCACUUUUGGUAAGCAGAACUGGCGCUGUGGGAUGAACCAAACGUAAUGUUACGGUGCCCAAAUUAACAACUCAUGCAGAUACCAUGAAAGGCGUUGGUUGCUUAAAACAGCAGGACGGUGAUCAUGGAAGUCGAAAUCCGCUAAGGAGUGUGUAACAACUCACCUGCCGAAGCAACUAGCCCUUAAAAUGGAUGGCGCUUAAGUUGUAUACCUAUACAUUACCGCUAAAGUAGAUGAUUUAUAUUACUUGUGAUAUAAAUUUUGAAACUUUAGUGAGUAGGAAGGUACAAUGGUAUGCGUAGAAGUGUUUGGCGUAAGCCUGCAUGGAGCUGCCAUUGGUACAGAUCUUGGUGGUAGUAGCAAAUAAUCGAAUGAGACCUUGGAGGACUGAAGUGGAGAAGGGUUUCGUGUGAACAGUGGUUGAUCACGAGUUAGUCGGUCCUAAGUUCAAGGCGAAAGCCGAAAAUUUUCAAGUAAAACAAAAAUGCCUAACUAUAUAAACAAAGCGAAUAUAAUACACUUGAAUAAUUUUGAACGAAAGGGAAUACGGUUCCAAUUCCGUAACCUGUUGAGUAUCCGUUUGUUAUUAAAUAUGGGCCUCGUGCUCAUCCUGGCAACAGGAACGACCAUAAAGAAGCCGUCGAGAGAUAUCGGAAGAGUUUUCUUUUCUGUUUUAUAGCCGUACUACCAUGGAAGUCUUUCGCAGAGAGAUAUGGUAGAUGGGCUAGAAGAGCAUGACAUAUACUGUUGUGUCGAUAUUUUCUCCUCGGACCUUGAAAAUUUAUGGUGGGGACACGCAAACUUCUCAACAGGCCGUACCAAUAUCCGCAGCUGGUCUCCAAGGUGAAGAGUCUCUAGUCGAUAGAAUAAUGUAGGUAAGGGAAGUCGGCAAAUUAGAUCCGUAACUUCGGGAUAAGGAUUGGCUCUGAAGAUUGAGAUAGUCGGGCUUGAUUGGGAAACAAUAACAUGGUUUAUGUGCUCGUUCUGGGUAAAUAGAGUUUCUAGCAUUUAUGUUAAGUUACUUGUUCCCCGGAUAGUUUAGUUACGUAGCCAAUUGUGGAACUUUUCUUGCUAAAAUUUUUAAGAAUACUAUUUGGGUUAAACCAAUUAGUUCUUAUCAAUUAUAACGAUUAUCAAUUAACAAUCCAAUUCAGAACUUGCACGGACUUGGGGAAUCCGACUGUCUAAUUAAAACAAAGCUUGGGAUGGCCCUAGCGGGUGUUGACACAAUGUGAUUUCUGGCCCAG